GGUGAACUCGCGGAAGGAUCAUUAAAGAAAUUUAAUAAUUUUGAAAAUGGAUUUUUUUUGUUUUGGCAAGAGCAUGAGAGCUUUUACUGGGCAAGAAGACAAGAGAUGGAGANUCCAGCCGGGCCUGCGCUUAAGUGCGCGGUCUUGCUAGGCUUGUAAGUUUCUUUCUUGCUAUUCCAAACGGUGAGAGAUUUCUGUGCUUUUGUUAUAGGACAAUUAAAACCGUUUCAAUA
rnacentral:rRNA from 1 species